CUAAGUUCUGGGCAGAAAAGCGUUUCCCGCGGACAGGAGGGACGGGGCACCUGGGGGACGGGAGUUUUUCCUUCUGGCCACCGAGUGGUCGCUCCGAAUUCCCAGACCCUGCGUGGUCUCCGCCUUGUGGGCAGCGGGUCGAACCGUGGCGGUGGCCGGGGGCUGCGGCCCCUCACCCGGGGGACGCCCCGGUCGCUCCUGCGGAGAGACUCAGUCAUCUGUGGGCUCCCGGGAGACGGGGAGUUUCUGCUGAAGGAACUUACAUGGAAAGGCAGGCCGCGUUGGUCUUGCUCGGGCUGAAUCCAGGCCCUUCAGCUCAUGGUCCCUCCUGGAGUUCGGACCCCCCCGGGUUGUCGGGCUGUGAGGCAGGCGCCCUCCCCGCCGACCUUCCCUCCAGCUCCCGUCCAGAGAGAAAGAGUCCCCCGAUCUGGGGGCCACGUGCAGACACCGCCAUGUGGACGCCAGUGCUGGGACACUUGCCGCACCCGUGGCGGCCGCAGAGGCAGGGUGGGGUCUUCCAGGACUGUCAAAGAAAAAAAAUUUCUGCUCCACCUGUCAAGUUUCAUAGCAUUUCCCCAUUGUCGAUUUCUCCUGUCCCAGAGGCUCCCCCUUCUGUUCGGGUGUUACUUGUAGCCUCCUGCUGACCCUUGGGAAUUACAGAGGCUGGAUAUGAUGGUGACGUGCCAAGUGACACACUGUGCCCAGUUUCCUUCCCCGACGUGGACGUGGGAUUCUCCCUGGAGGAGUGGACAUGCCUGGAUGCUGAUCAGAGAAAGCUCUACAGGGACGUGAUGCUGGAGACCUACCAGCACCUGCAGACUGUGGGAUUUCCAGGGUGAAGCCUGAGGUGAUGUCCUGGCUGGAAGGAAGAGCCUGAGCCCAGGAAGAAGAGGCAUGUGUGUAGAGUGAUGCUGAUAAGUUACUUCAAGCUCAGCACUCAGGCAUUACUCCUGGAAGUGCCCAGGGUAUCAUGUGUGAUGCCAAGGGUCAAACUGCAUCCACCACAUGCAGUGGAAAUGCUCUCCCCACUGUGCUAGCAUUCCCACCCGAAUUCCUACUAUCAUUAAGUUUUAAGAAAUACUGU